rnacentral:rRNA from 1 species
AUCUAUGGUCAUACCACCCUUAACAUGCCUGAUCUCAAAAGCUAAGCAGAGUCAGACCUGGUUAGUACUUGGAUGGGGAAAAGAAGGUCCCAAAUU